UACGAGUACCAGAACGCGGCAGCUGCAGCCGCGGUCUCAUACCCCGGACAAUACCCCAACGGCUUCGAGACGUACCCUUACACGAGCGCCGCAGGAGCUGCCAGUUACGUAACUCCGUACACGUACGCAACGUUGCCUCAAACUGCAGGACUCCCCACAGCCGCGGCCGGGGGAUUCCCAGGUCUGUCCCCCUACCAGACUGCAGCCCAGGCUACGCUUCAAGAGGCUCGCAUGCAGUAACGGCACAUCCACACUUAGGGGAAUGUAAGAAUUAUUAUUAUAUUAUUAUUAUAUUAUUAUUAUAUUAUUAUUAUGUAUAGUAAUAACGGGACAAAAGUUCUGGAAUUACCCAACGUCGGUUAUCCUAUAAGAAAGUUUAUAAUUAAAUUGAUCCGCACAUGUAAUUUGAACUUCGAUUGCCACUAAAUCUGUUAGGCAUAACAGAUUUUAUAAUAACGAUUAAUUCUUAAAUAUGAAUACAUUAUUUGAGGUGCCUGGAUAUAAUGCAGAAUCUCAUUUUUUUCAUGAUUAAAUGGAAGGCAGUGGGCCUCUUCCUUUAUACAACCUUUAUGGUAUGCCUAAAUAAUAUUUAAAUAAUAUGAAGAAACAUCUCAAGACAGUUUAAUCCUUUAAAUGUAAAGCUCAAUGAAAUAAUAUUUAAAAGUUUGAUUUCUACCUCCAUGAAAACACAUUGCACCUCUGUUACAAAAUGUAGUCGAUAAAUGUUGUUUUGGAAAAUUGUUAUUUUUUCUGAUGACGAUAUCACUUGGUGGAGAAAAUGUCUCAUUACCGAGUGUCAAAAGUAAGUGAUUCAAAUCCUUGUCACUACACUACAUAGCGCUAAGAAUGCGUCUUUUGGAUAUCCCAUUACCUGCAUCCUGAAGCAAGGAGAAGUAGGUUAGGUUACGUAUUCCUAAUUCAAUUAAAAUUAAAAACUAGUAUUCCUUCCUCAGAGACUUAAGCUUAAAUACUGUUAUUUUACAUAUAAGCUACUUCAACUUUAGUGGUAUUUUAAAUCACAGUUGUGCACUAAUUUAAAUUGUUUGUUUUUCUGAACUUAUGUAAGAAAGUCUAAGGAACAGAUGUUCAACUAUCAUAUUUGCAUGCAUUAUAUGUAUCAACAAACAGACAGUUAUCAGAAAAUGUUGGAUUACGAAGUUAAAAAGUUAUAUCUCAUUUAUAAUAAAUCGCUACUAUUUUUAUAAACACAAAAUUUUCGACAUGAAUGGAACGUUUUUAUAAUCCGUUAAUAGUUGUAUUGUGGACACAAUAUGUAAAUACACAAACGUUUCUACAAAUAUGUUUUACUUUUAGUAUUAAUAUUGUCUUCUUGAAAACAAAGUUCCUUCAUGUCAAUCUAGCCUUCCGGAUUGCAACACUAUGCGAACUUGUAUGUAGAUACCAAAUUUUUGAGGAACAUACUGCCAUCACCUUCAGCCCUGAAGGGCUAGAGGCAGUAUGUACCUCCUAAAAGUUUAUUUUCCUGCGAGACCAUGCUGCAUUACAAUCCAGAAGACUGAAUCGAUAUCUUCAGUGCUGCGAGAAUCUCAAAUUUCAAGGUCAUUUUAUUUUCAGGCAGAUUUCAAACAAAUUACAAAUGCUUCCUGUUCUUCUGGAUACUGUUGUUUAAUAAUGGUGCAUCAGUCACUGGCUUUUACACUUUCUAGCAUAAGGCAGCUUCAUUUAAGAAAAUAUGUCUUGUUAAAAGAAUUAACUCCAUAAAGAAUCAGUCACCAUACCUGACUCAUAUCAAUUCUUACUUUUAAAAUGUACUUGUAGCAACAUACUAAAUCUAGAUACAGUUUUGGUAAAUGAAUAAAAGUCAUUUAAAUAUAUUUUAUUUUCACAUAUAAUACCUCAAAAUAAAAUCUGAGAUUAAAACAAUAAUUCCCCAGAGUGUGACAGAUUUUACUCUUUACCUUUAAUUUUCAAAUAUUCAUUUCCAUUUUCUAUUAUUUCAUUCAUAUUUUAUAAAUUUUAUACUCUUGAUUUCUAUUUUGUAUUGAAUGUACAUAGAAUUGCACUGAAUUGUUCACUGUAUUCACUGACAGACGAAAGCUACUGCCACUUCCCAGCUCCUGGCAAGAACUGCUGCAAAGGUAAGUUAAUUUUAUUGCUUUUAUGGAGCAAUACUUGACUCCAAUCAAGAAAACCUUAUAGUACUUGGUGGUGAGUCAUGCAGUUUCAUCUGGGUGCCAGGAAGUGGCAGUUGCUUUAAACUUUAUCACGGAACACCCUGUACAAUUCAGACAUCGUGGAUUUCUGCUUUGAAACGAAAGCAAAACUAAAUACUAGUGAACAUGUGGACAUGAUAGAAGCUUUUCGUGUUUUAUACAGUUAGACUGUUUACUUUGGUUGUGCAUAUGCGGAAGAGGAAUACAUAGUAACUAAUGUUCAAUCAUCACUGUAUUAUAUAAUGCAUGACGAAAGAUGUUUACGGUAAAUUCUGGACAAAACACGCACUCGAUAUGUCUAAUCAUAUAUAAAGGUAGUACCUAAAGGUAUCAGCACUUAAGAUUGUUUAAUCAUACACAAUGUCAAAGUGAAAAAAGUAUGAGAUAUUGAUUCCGUACGCGUUUUUAACACGUAUCAUUCUAAGAGCAAAGAAAAUUUUCGUAAUCAUUCAGUUAAUUUCAUUUUGAAAUUUUCAUUGUUAAUUUCAUGGCAGUCAGUAACAUUGUCAAUGAUGAACAAUCAUUAUUGUUAAAGAUGAUAAUCAGCGCAUGCUACUAAAUCAUAUAUCCAUUAUAUAAAAUGCAUUAUGAGAUUUAUAUCUAAUAUCUUAACAGCAUAUCCAAUGCAGUUUUAUCAUGAAUUUACACGAAGGGUCAUGUACUAAAGUUUAUACUAAUUUUUGUUAUCUUGUUUAUUUUUGUUGAUAUGUCAAAUAUUGGUACUAUAAAAGAAAAGUAAUUCUAGUCUCGCAUUUUUAGAAAGGUAUAUGGUCGGUAUAAAAACUUUUUGAUGUUGAACAUUUGUAUUAAUGCCAUGAACCAUUUAGUUGCGUAAAUAUGUGUAAUUUAUAAAGUAAUAUUUAUGCAGCAUAUAAUUACUGCAGUAGUAGCAAAACCUUAUUUAAACUUAGAAUUAGUAUCUACCCUGCUGAUAGAGUUAACAACAUAAAUCAUUCCAGUCUCUGGAAUUUUGUUUACUAGAAUAUCAAAGGAAGAUAAAUUUCUGAAGUUUAGUAGGUAAAUAAUAAUACGGCAAUUACGUAUCCUAAAUAUCAAGGAAAAUUUGUUGGUUAAUGUUGAGAAUGGGAAGUAUAUCAGUUCAUUUUGUUUCGAAACUGCUAAGUUUAUUAAAAUCAUCUGAAUUACUCAUAAGACAGAUAAUUUCAACAUAGUCACUGGUAGCUCAAAUAAUAAAUAUUUAACUUUAAUUAUAUUUAUAUAUUUGCACACUAUGUAUAUAUUUACUAAUAAUCUCAAACUAUGUCAUGUAAAUGAUAUGUUUAUACAGAAGGGGAUAUUCUAACCCUAGUAAUAAUUUUUGAGGUAAGUAUAACUUUCAGAGGUCUACGUUUUAAAAGUGUAAUGCAAAUACUUUGUAUUUGUAUACUGAUACUAGUUAUACGACAUGUAGGUAGCAUAUUUUAUUCAUUUUUAUAAAUAGAUUUGCUUCUGAUAUAUCAUUGUCCUUACAGUUACGUCAGUUAAUUUUCUGUCGUAGAUUUUAGUUGAAGGCAAAGGCUGGUGAAAAUUAGCAAACUUUAAAAUAUUUAUCAGCCAACUUGAAUGCUUCUGCGUGUGCAUGAGUAUGCAAUCAAAUUUUGGAUGAUUUCAUUAUAUUUGAUAUUAGCAUUGACUACGUAUAAUAUGAGAGAGUAAAAAUGUUUUUAAUACAGAAUCUGUUCAAAUACCAAAUUAAAACAUUCCCACAAUAAAUGAUUGCAUUAUCUUGCGUAAUUUAAUUAAAAUCCAAAAUAUUAUUAUAGCAGUUUCAGCUCAUCCAUGAUACUAAUAUUAUAAUACAUAUAGUUUACUUCUUUUAUUCAAAGAUAUGGACUAUAUGUCGCUUCUUAACAGUGUCGUAGUGUCAUAUAUUCACCAUGUAAUUAAUGCACGCGAAGUAUGUAACUAUUGCUCAUUAAAGGUACAGUUAGUUAGCUGUCAGGGCAAAGAGUGCUGACACUGUGCAAUAAUUGUUAAAACUCGCUUCGUAUAAUCAUUUUAUAGCUUAAAGAAAGCAAACCUAGUCAGUAAAACUGAAACAGAAAUCCUAUGUUACCUCAAAAUUAACAGGCCUUGAAACAGUUACCUACGAGUAUAUUCUGAAAUAACAAGUUUAAUUAUACGUUUUAUAACGGCUGAGAUAGUGUUUCUUUUUCUGACUAAAAUAAAGUCACUGAGAAUAAAUUUUAAAAUUCAAUUUCUUACUUUUAUAUUACUUUAAAAUAAAAGAUGUGUCGUACUUUAAGGUAUAACAUUUUCAAAAUAAAACUGAAAACAAAGUUUAAUAUUUCAAAUAAAAUACGAUGACAAAUACGUAUUUCAAUGAAAUGUCUGACAGUAACAAUAUUAAAUUUCAUUCAUUUACAUUACACUGAAUGGAGCAGAUUGGCUUCAUCCUGAUAAGUUAAUAGCAUAUGGAACCCUACCAACAAUACGUACGAUCACGCAAAAAUUAAUUUUAUGUGUGAUUAUAUUUCCAGAAAUAUAACUUAUAAAGUUUCUUUCAAGAAACUACAAUACAUAACAGUGUUCUUAGAUUUCAUUGUAUCCUAAGAUUAAUUAUAUUAUCAUGAAGCAUGCUCAACUUUUACAUCUGUAAAGACAGUGCACUGCUAAAAAUAUUUUUAUUAUGGAAAAAGUAACAACGUCUUAAAAUGCUUAAGAUGUUCAAAAUGAACUGUAUUUCAAGUCCGUCCUUCAUAGCCUGUUUUCAAAAGUGUGCCUUUUCGUCAGAAAACUACAUCACAUACGUUUAUCAGUAUUUUUAUGAUAUGAAGGAUACCAUUAGGUUAUUCUAAGAAUAAUAUUGAUUUUCAUAAACUGCAGUAAUAUAUUUUGGUGUAAUGACUCGUAUGUAUUGUGUAAAUUUACUAUAAUGUAUAAAUAUAUUUAAAAUAAUGCGUUGUU